AUGGGCUCGCCUCAGCAUAAUGCUGACCUGGUCAGCGCUGAUCUUCCGGCGAGACCAUUUGUGUUGUGGGCCACGAUUGCACCUGUACGGCACGGCCUCGUAAAACUGAACGCAUACACUAGCGACAGCUACUAGCGCCAACUACGUGUAUGACAGAUGACAGAAAUGACAAUGUCAGAUAAUCUAAAACGCCAUGCCGUACAAGGUAUUAAUAAAUAACAAUGGAAAAAUGAAUAAAUAACAAUGGAACAAUUACAUCAGUUUAAGUGCAAAACACAUUAAAUUACCGUGAAAACAUUACAAAUAUUUUGAAAGAUACAUACAACAUAAAUAAACAGGACUAAAUAAGUGGCUAACGUUUACAUAGUUACAGUUUACUUUGCCAAGUGAGGUGCAGGAAAUUCAGAUCAAGAAGUAUAUUACAUACAAGAUAACGCGCGCAAUUGUGAUGCAAGACAACUGAAAGAAAAGAAAACGACAAAAAGAAAAGACUACAUGUACUGACGCAUUGGGUGGUAAAGAGGAGAGAAAAUACAGGUCUAUGUUGCCCUGUGGUCUGUGACGGAUUAAUUCGUCUUCGGCGUUGGAUCUACGGUGCGGAUAUAUCCAUCAUUGGCGUCACAAAGGUUAAAGGUCGGACGUACCGAUAGUCGGUGUACGUUUAUUAAUAAGGUUCAGUGUGACCAUUUAGACAUGUAACCAUCGAAAUGAUAUAAUUUCUAUGGUUACUCAACUAAUAUGAACUAUAAAUUACCUCGAAGUUUUGUGCAUUUCGUAGUAAAUAACGAAUUUAUUAUGUUGUCUCUUGAACAGAGGCCUCGAAGCGGAAGAUCUCUAGGAACAAGUGACCCUGGGGCCAUCACAAAGAUUGCUAAUAGAAUUUGCGAAAACGAAGCAUACCUGUCAUAAUUAUCGUAAAAGUGCAACAAACGACGAUUAAAGUCACUUCAGUUCUUCGUACUUAAUUCUAGGCCAAGUCGAAAAUCAUACAAUUUCCUUCGUACAAAAAUCGCAUUUGGCAGUUGACAUAGAAUAGACUAAGAGCUCCAAACGUCCUGCAGUGCCUUUCUCUCAACUAUUAUUGGGCUCAAAUCAAAAUUGUAUUAAAAGAGAAGAAUGAAAAAGCCAAAGAACAUUAACAAUUCCAGCAGCUGACGAGCUGAUGCAGGCAAAAACGGGUCCGUAAAAGCUGCCACUGAAUGCGCUAGGAAGUAGCUGCCUAUCACUCCCACAGAAAAAAGAAUAAAUAAAUAAACUGACAAAAAUCUAAAUUAAAA